GUGAAUCAUCGAAUCUUUGAACGCAAAUUGCACUCUCUUCGGAGAGUAUGCCUGUUUGAGGGUCAGCCUAUAAAAAAAUCGACAUAGUCGCUUUUUCCCGUUGCCUUUCGUCGGAAUUUGGGUCAUCUUAAACCUUUUGGUUUUAGGCGUCUUAAAAUUUUCUUUACGAUUAUACGAACGUCUCUGAUAUUUACUUCUUCACCUUUUAGGUUUC
rnacentral:misc_RNA from 1 species